UACGUAGGGGGCAAGCGUUGUCCGGAUUUAUUGGGCGUAAAGAGCGUGUAGGCGGCUUUGCAAGUCCGUUGUGAAAACUCGAGGCUCAACCUCGAGACGCCGGUGGAAACUGCAAAGCUAGAGUCCGGAAGAGGAGAGUGGAAUUCCUGGUGUAGCGGUGAAAUGCGCAGAUAUCAGGAAGAACACCCGUGGCGAAGGCGGCUCUCUGGCCCGGUACUGACGCUGAGGUGCGAAAGCGUGGGGAGCAAACAGG
rnacentral:rRNA from 1 species